rnacentral:rRNA from 1 species
AACGAACGCUGGCGGCAGGCUUAACACAUGCAAGUCGAACGGGUGUAGCAAUACAUCAGUGGCAGACGGGUGAGUAACACGUGGGAACCUUCCUAGGGGUACGGAACAACUCAGGGAAACUUGAGCUAAUACCGUAUACGUCCGUGAGGAGAAAGAUUUAUCGCCCUUAGACGGGCCCGCGUCGGAUUAGCUAGUUGGUGGGUAACGGCCUACCAAGGCGACGAUCCGUAGCUGAUCUUAGAGGAUGAUCAGCCACACUGGGACUGAGACACGGCCCAGACUCCUACGGGAGGCAGCAGUGGGGAAUCUUGGACAAUGGGCGCAAGCCUGAUCCAGCCAUGCCGCGUGAGUGAAGAAGGUCUUCGGAUUGUAAAGCUCUUUGCCAGGGACGAUAAUGACGGUACCUGGAGAAUAAGCCCCGGCAAACUUCGUGCCAGCAGCCGCGGUAAU